GGCGACCGGCGCACGGGUGAGUAACACGUAUCCAACCUGCCGAUGACUCGGGGAUAGCCUUUCGAAAGAAAGAUUAAUACCCGAUGGCAUAGUUCUUCCGCAUGGUAGAACUAUUAAAGAAUUUCGGUCAUCGAUGGGGAUGCGUUCCAUUAGGUUGUUGGCGGGGUAACGGCCCAUCAAGCCUUCGAUGGAUAGGGGUUCUGAGAGGAAGGUCCCCCACAUUGGAACUGAGACACGGUCCAA
rnacentral:rRNA from 1 species